UCAGAUCCUCGUGACCUCGCGCUAGACGUAGCAAUACAAACAAACAUGGUAUAGACAAAAUUAACAUCACACCACAGAUAAGAACAAAAUGUAUAACAAUGAUCUACACGUUGCUACGAGAUCACGGGAUCGAGAACUACUAAGAUCGGAGUCACGAUUAAAGAGUUAUGAUUUUAUAGAAGAUCUGUGUGAUUAAAAUAUUAAAAUAUAUUAUAAAUUGGUUAAUAUAAAUCAUAUGAGAGAUUAUUCUAUGAAUAAUUACCUCAAAUUUAAUCUAAGUUAUAAAUUGACCAUAGAUCAUAUUCUAGUAAAUUAUAAUGAUAAGCAGUUUAACAAGACUAACCAACAUAAGUUAAAUAAAGAUCUAAUCAUAAAAUAAUGAGACAUGGUAUAAUAAAUGUUGUUAUGGCAUAGUAAAUAUUCAUAUGAAGCUAACGCAACUGGAACAGUUCAAUUCGGAGUUAUGGAUUUUAAGUUAUGAAUUUCUAAAGAUUCUUUGUGUUUUGUACAAGAUUAAAUAGGAUAUUAAUUUUAAUGUGACUUUCAUGUCAAAACAGUGGUACUAAAUGAUAAACAAUAAUAUUACAAAAUUAUAUGAACUAGAAUGAAUUAAUUUGAAGUUAAAAUGAAUUAAAUAUGAUUUAUAUAAGUUUCUGGAAUUAUUUUUGUACUAAAAAUCAACUUCUAUAAAUAUUUAUCUGAUUUUCUCUGUUCUCUGGGCUGAACACAAAAUACAGAGAAACUCGGGGGUAAAUCCAUAAAAGUCCCCCAGACACAGAAAGCCCCCGAGCAGUACCGCGGGUUAAUUUCGUAAUCUCUGGAAGGCUCUUUAGCAAAUAUUCCUCGCAAAGGGGUAUGGUUGGAUCUCGUCCAUUGGAUCAGAUCCGAGGGCCGAGAAUAGAUCGCGAAGGGGGUAUGGAACAGGGAUAGUGGGAUCACAGGUCGACGGCCACGAUCAACAUACGUGAAUCCUUAAUCCCUUUCCCAUUAGACCGUCCAUGUCGAGAUCAACGGCCCCUGAGCAUCUUCUCCCCAACCCUAAUCCUAGCUGCCCUUUGCCCGAUCUACGGUCCCUAUCCACUACCCGAAGUUGUACGCCCAUUAUCUAAUCACCACCGUACAUUAAUCAAUGAACGGCACCCACUUCAUCUCCUUCCUUCUGCCGGCGCGGUCAGCGGAACAGAGACCUCCACGGUGGCGCAGCACGCCGGCAACCAGUGAUCUAGGAUUCUAGUGCGUCUUCUUUAAUCCCAGCUAGUGCUACGCGAAGCUGAGUGAACACCGAGGAUAGGGGCGGGUACAUACCGAUGGUUAGACAACGUAGAAGCUCGUUCACCAAGGCGCGACGGCUCGAUCGUGAGCACCGGAGUCGGACGACAAAGUCCCGGUCACCCGCACGAGUCCCCACCUCCAGGUGCACCAAAUCGCCGGCUAACGACGCGCCCAGACCCCGCGAAUUAUUCGCAGACGUCGAACGACCAUGGAAAGCGAAGAACAGCGUUGGCAGCGUACUUUCCUCUCCCCUAUUCUCUGUUGGCGGCGCGGGUGGGUGAACACGCUACGAAGCUCGCUCCAACAGAUGGAAGAAGAGGACGCCAGACACAACUACUUAAAGGCCCAAGGUCAGGGACCCCGAGGAGCUAGCACAGGGUACCCGCACGAUCCGACACGGUGGUUCAUGGCGGAGUUCGCGGCUAGGAAAUCGGCGAUGCCGUUCGCCCGACUGCGC
rnacentral:lncRNA from 1 species